rnacentral:lncRNA from 1 species
CAGGUGGUCAUGCCAAUCCCUUUUUGAUUACAGUGGCAUCGGAUUGACCAGUCAAUCACACAUGCUUCCAGCCCCAAUGUAGCAGCACCAAUCAGCUUGCGCGAAACAUAAUUGAUGCCACACCCUCCACCUGCAUCCAGUGACCAUGAUUGGUCAAUGCAGUUUGGCACUUAUGUUAAUUAGACGCAGCUGGUGUGUUCCAGUAUCUCCCUGGCCUCCGUUGUUUGUGGAGGCUGCCUCUAGCCUAACCCAGCUGGUGAGUCUGCAGCUGUUUUAUUCUUUGGUGAGUCAUGUGUUAUACUUUUGAUGCUUGCUUCUGUUUCUCUUAUUGUUCAAAGAGGUUUGCUGCGGUCUGUGAUUCCGGCUCCUGUCCCUGUCAUUGCUGCGGUUUUUUUGGCCACCAGUGGUUAGCUUCAGCGAGGAACGCCGCAGGAGCCGACCAGGAGGGGAGGAGAGAUGAGCUGUCCGGGACUCUGAUCGAUCCUGGGGGAGGAGAGGUCACCUCCAGCCUGUCUGCUCCUCGACUCGCUGGGUUUCAACUGCACUUUGUUGGAAGAAGCUGGGAGUAAACACGCUCGGCUCCAGAACAGCCCAGCGACCGAAGCGCUAGAGUUCGGCAACAUCCGUAUUGAGCUGCUUGACUCUGAGUACUUUUUUUGUUAUUUAUAUUUAUGUUUACAUUUAGGGCAUUUGGCCCGAUUUGGUCAAUCAAAGCCACUGUGAUUGGACGGUAUUGUUGACAGUAAUGGUGAGGUUUGCGGUACAAAAUAAAUGUUGUUAAGAUGAAGGUGUUGAGUAGAAUUGUGAAGGGGCCUUUGUGAAUAAUUAGCACGUGUGAUGUGAUGAAUGUGAUGAUCUGAAUGCGUCAGCGCUGUAGACUGCAUGGAGACGGGUUGUGAUGCAUUGCAGGUAGGCACAUAUCCCAUGAAUUUCAAUUACUAGUUGUUGGGUCGCCAUCUUUAAUCUUUACAAUGCACAGUGCACACCCAUGCAACUACAGACACACACACACACACACACAAACACACACACGCACACGCACACACAGAUGCACGCACACACGCACACGCG